AAUUCGCCCUUUCCGUAGGUGAACCUGCGGAAGGAUCAUUGUCGAAACCUGCCCAGCAACACAACCUGUGGACUCGUUCAUUGUAUCGACGGGGGUUUUGCUGUAAAUCCUUGGAUUGACAACAUUCCCCGUAAAAGUCGAGGGGUAUGCCGGUCGCUCAGCAGCGUUUGGCUCCUCAAGACACAACAAACCAACUCGGGCGCUGGUUGCGCCAAGGAACAUCAUUAAAAACUAAAGGAACUCCCUGCCAUCCCRGAAACGGUGCAUGCGUCGGGGAUUGGUUCCUUGUGGUCAUAAACAAAACGACUCUCGGCAACGGAUAUCUCGGCUCUCGCAUCGAUGAAGAACGCAGCAAGGGCGAAUUGGUGUGAAUUGCAGAAUCCCGUGAACCAUCGAGUCUUUGAACGCAAGUUGCGCCCAAAGCCUUUUGGUUGAGGGCACGUCUGCCUGGGUGUCACACAAAGUCGCCCAAGCCCAACAUCCAGUGGGAAUCGGGCGGAUAUUGGUCUCCCGUGUGCCCUUGCUCGCGGUUGGCCCAAAAUAUGAGCCUCGAUGACUGUAGUCACGACGAUCGGUGGUUUGUAGACCCUAGGACAUCGUCGUGCGCUGCCGUCUCUUGGUCACCGACGGCCCGAAAAAGCAUAACUGAUUGCUCCAAAAGCGACCCCAGGUCAGGCGGGACUACCCGCUGAGUUUAAGCAUAUCAAUAAGCGGAGGAA
rnacentral:rRNA from 1 species